GAAGAAAAUCAAGGCGUUUUGCCUUUGCUACCCAAUCAACGGCAUGGUUAGCCUCUCUCGGACAAAAUGCGAGAUUUGAUUUGGUCAGUUGGGCCAAAAGUUAUUUGCAUACCUGUACUUGUUCCUUCACGGCCCAUGGCGCUUCUUCACGGCCCAGCACGGAGUCAACCAACGUGCGACAAUCACUUUCACAAAGUACACUCCAGUUCAGUUCGUGUGUUGUGUUCGCGUGAAGUUCUUCUCUCUGUUUCAGCAGGAGCAGCCUGUGAAGCAGGGCUAGGGUUUCCGCCUGUAAGGACGAAGACGUGUGAGUUUUUUUGGCGAAUCCAUCUACAAUAAUGCCUCUGGAGUGUCAAAGGAUGCCCGCAAUCGAGCUUUGCUCAUCUCCUUCCACCCACGAGCUGUCCACGUUCAAUUUCAGAUCUGGGUCGUCUGGCGCUUUCCAUUUCACAAGUGAUGUCGCCAUAUCUCUCAUUUCUUUGUGUUUGCGCGGAUUCCAACGCUGAUAAUUCUGAUUUUGUGCUAGGGCACUUUCAAUUAGAGCCUCCGGUUGCGCCUUCCUGUUCCGAAAAACAACGUUGUUCCUGUUUUUCCAGAUCUGCCAAAGCAUCUCCGCGACUAUUUCUUCAUCAAUGAAAAAAGAAGUGCUCGACUAUCUCAGGAUGUUUAGAAUAUAAGGGGUAUAGCGGGUCAGAUACAAGGAGAGAAGAAGGGGGCUGUGAUCCGACCCCACCGCUAGUAAUGCCAAAACUUCAGCA